rnacentral:rRNA from 1 species
AGAGUUUGAUCCUGGCUCAGGACGAACGCUGGCGGCGUGCUUAACACAUGCAAGUCGAACGGAAAGGCCCUUCGGGGUACUCGAGUGGCGAACGGGUGAGUAACACGUGGGUGAUCUGCCCUGCACUUUGGGAUAAGCCUGGGAAACUGGGUCUAAUACCGGAUAUACCUCAUGGGCUGCAUGGUCUGUGGGGGAAAGCUUUUGCGGUGUGGGAUGGGCCCGCGGCCUAUCAGCUUGUUGGUGAGGUUAUGGCUUACCAAGGCGACGACGGGUAGCCGGCCUGAAAGGGUGACCGGCCACACUGGGACUGAGAUACGGCCCAGACUCCUACGGGAGGCAGCAGUGGGGAAUAUUGCACAAUGGGCGCAAGCCUGAUGCAGCGACGCCGCGUGAGGGAUGACGGCCUUCGGGUUGUAAACCUCUUUCAGCAGGGACGAAGCGAAAGUGACGGUACCUGUAGAAGAAGCGCCGGCCAACUACGUGCCAGCAGCCGCGGUAAUUC